GACGAACGCUGGCGGCGUGCCUAACACAUGCAAGUAGGACGCAGAUGCGAAAGGGUGAGUAAAGCGUAGGUAACUACAUAUUAGAGGGGGAUAACUAUUGGAAACGAUAGCUAAUACCGCAUACUAGUAGAUGGACCUGCGUUGUAUUAGCUAGUAGGUGGGGUAAAGGCCUACCUAGGCAACGAUACAUAGCCGACCGGAGAGGGUGAUCGGCCACACUGGGACUGAGACACGGCCCAGACUCCUACGGGAGGCAGCAGUAGGGAAGCUUCGGCAAUGGGGGUAACCCUGACCGAGCAACGCCGCGUGAGUGAUGAAGGUUUUCGGGUCGUAAAGCUCUGUUAUUAUGGAAGCGGUACUUAACCAGAAAGGGACGGCUAACUACGUGCCAGCAGCCGCGGUAAUAC
rnacentral:rRNA from 1 species